AUGUAAUCGAUGGUUAUUUGAUCAUUGAAAUGUUUGACUGGUAAAACUUAAUGUAACGUGAUUUCGCGAGAUAAAUAUUUUUGUUUCCACGUAAGAACACUUUAUCAUUUGCUAUAGAACAGUCUGUAUAAUCGGAUCAUUUUUCCCACACUAUAUCGCCAUGCCAAAUAAAUGCACAAUCAAUGGUAGGAAAUAUCCUAGCAAUUGAAAUCAAUAAAAAGUUAAAUGCAGUACGUAAGACUCUUAUUAUUCAAAUGCUGGUAAAUAAAAUUUCCUCUUAUUUCUUAUCAACAUGAAUUUCCCUUAUAUGAGGGGCCAGUCAUUUACACAUGUAUCAGAUGCAGUUUGAUUUUGAUAUCUGUGUAGUUGUUAAACUACUCGUUGUUAAUUGAAGUACUUUACCCAUACUGUUAGCAUACCAUGUGUUUCUUAUAUUAUGAUAAUGAUUCAUGGCAUUUGAUACAUGUAAAUGAUACGACUUUGGUAAGAUAUAUCUGAAAGCACAUUGUAUUCGACUAGCUAUCUUUUUAUUAAUGUAAUCAAACAACAUAUUAUCAAUCAGAAAACACAUUAUCAUAGUUAUAAAUCAAUAAAAGUAAUAGUUUGUUAAUUAGCCUGCUUAUCAACAAGUUGUAUGCUCGUAUCAUAAAAAGUUUUUACACUAAGCCAGUCUGUCCUAUAUACACUUAGCAGAUCGGAUCAUGCUGGGCAGAGAUAAUAUCUAUAAAAAUGACAGUAACAUGUGAAUUUCUUUGAUGUUGUAUGAGCAUUUGUACAAAGUACAUUGAAUAUAAAAAAAAAUAACAGUAUACAUUUUUGCGGGAGUAGAAUUAAUUUCAUUUUGGUAUUUGUUAUAUCAGUUUUUCAUGCGCUUAUGAGUUAACUAAGAUUAAUAGUAAUUGGAUUUUGCCUAUUGUAUUAGACAAACAUCCUUCCACCACAUGGUUAAAUUCUAAAACGAUUAUAUUUCGUCUUUCAGAUUGUGAAAAUUAUGAUAAUUCAACAUGUGUCAAAAGUUCAGGAGGAAGAUGAAAAUAUUUAGAGGGAAAAAAAAUGAAAACCUACCAAGAUUUUGUGACAGAAAGUGUGAUGAGAUCUCAGGUUGGAGACGGUAAUACGCUUAUAGUAUGCCCCAGAUCGACAUAGUGUAGGAGGACGAAAGAAGCUAGAAUACUAAUGAAGAUACAUGAACAUUGCUAUUUAUAGUUAUAACAAAAUAUUCAGAAUAUUGUUCCAUUUAACAUUCAGAUCUAGAUUCAGUUAUAAAAUACAAAGACAAAUAUACAAUCAGUGAGUUGGAUAGAUGAUUGAAAAAUCCCAAAGUCAGAGUGAUUAGUUCAGUGGUGAUAUAAGAAAAAACACAUGCAUGGAUGUUUGCUAUAUAAAACGCGGUGUUAAUAUUCAAGAAGGAUUUUGUUUAUCUUAUUUCUAAAACAUGCUUAAUUAAUACAUGAAGCGUUAUUAAAGUACAUACCGUCAAGUUUAAUAUUUUCAAAAAAUAUUAUGUAAAUCUUGCAUUUGUUAUAGUACCACAUUUCUUGUUUUGUACUUGUGAUUCCGAGUAUAAAAUAAAUUGCUAAAAUCAUAAGAAUGCUUAUUUAUUAACCCUAUUAAAGAGCUUCAAAAUGAAAAAAAUCAUAUUCCAAAAGUUUUGAAUGAGGUUAAAUCAUGGUCAGAAAAUUUGGUCAGAUAAGGUUGGCAUAUGGUCAGAUAAUGGUCAGAAAAGGUUGGAUUAUGGUCAGAAAAAGGUUGGAUUAUGUCCAAAUAAUGGUCAGAUAAGGUUGGCAUAUGGUCAGAUAAUGGUCAGAAAAGAAAAGGUUGGAUUAUGGUCAGAAAAGGUUGGAUAAAGGUCAUUUUAUGACGUUGUAUAGACGUCGGUUUCUGACGUCUAAAAAACUUUCAAAUCCAACCUUCUGCCAACGUUUACCCAACGUCAGGGUCUAACGUCAGUACAACGUUGGUACAACGUCUUUUGUUUGCUGGGU